AUGCCUAUGUCCUGUUGUGUUUACGGAUGCUCCAGUAGGUCGACCAGAGAAACCGAUAAACGGUAUUUUAGGGUACCAAAAAUAGCCCAACGAAGAGGAGAAAAAUGGAAAAUUCUAACCGAAAAACGUAGGAAAAAAUGGAUUUUAAAUUUACGUUUACAGUCGGGAGGAGCAGAGUCUGCCAAUGCCCGUGUCUGCAGCGACCACUUCGUCAGAGGCUGCCCAAGUGCUUUGGAUGACGAAGAGUCGGAGGACUGGGCUCCGACGGUCAAUCUCGGCUACGAACGAAAACCCAGAUCGGAAUCAGUUCUCAAACGAGAGAAAAGAAUGAAGCUUAAGGCAGAACAGCAUCGAUGUGCAGAGGCGAUUUUGGAUAUGCAACAGACGGCUGAGAGCCCGGAUUUGAGCCUAGUGACAGUGGAGAACCCCGAACUGCAGCUUCCAGCUGAGAAUCCACAACCAGAAGACUUCAGUGUGAAUGAGACAUUCACUUAUCCAGGUAAGAUAUUGUGCUGAGAUGUAAAACAAACAAGAAUCAUGUCAAAGAGAAAAAGAUGCCAUUAUCUGUAAUGAUUAUGGUCCAAGUUACAUAUUACAUGUUUGUGAUUUUGGUUUACCUUGAAACAAACAACUGUCACUCUAACGAAGUCCUAAGGAUGUGGCAUGUUUGUUGACGUUAAAGCCGCUACCGCUAACUGUUAGCGUGUUUAAGAUAAAGCAAUAUAAGAACAAACACUCACCCUUGCAAACACCAAACUGUAUCCAUCACGGAGACGUUUUGUUCCAAGGUUGUGGACCCACCCGCUGACAAAAAAAUUGUACGCCUCCAGACUCUUGAAAGCUUUCAUUUGCUGCCUAGUGUAGUAAGAAGUCUGGAGGACCAAGUAGUUGGUGAUAUCCACAGCCUCGAUAGUAGGCAAAUCCUUUACUUCUGUGGUGUAUUCGGACAUUUUCAAAGAAUACGGAUCACGUCCGAUAUAUUUUUUAACUAUCUGUUUAUAUCUCUCCCGAGAAACGGGGUCUAAAGUUGCACAAUAGCUGCUCUCCUGACUCUCCACAGUGUCCUCCAUGUUUACUUCCGCCCUCCACUCAAAAAUCGCGCUGCCUCCGCACGUCAUCAGAACCACGUGACCGCAACCCAACUAUUAACAAAGUACAGAUGGUGCACUAGCACAGACAGAAGGGAGGCAGUAAUAGACCGGAAGAGUUAAGUAAAAUAGGUAUCAAGCUUCAUUUCAGGAGGAAGGUGUCAUGAUGGGCUGUGUGGCAGGCAGGCAGGACAGAUGAAAACACAGGGGAGUAAUCAGGGAAUGGGAAACAGGAGGGAGACACAGCUGGGAGAAAUUAGGCUAACGAGACAGGGGAGCAGUAAAACUGAACACACUGACAAUUCGUGAAUACAAAAUAUCUACUAAGAAGAUAAAAACCGCAGUAAAAUUAAUAAUAAAAUAAUAACAAUUAAUAUAAAGUUUAAAAGGGGCAUUAACUGGUUGGGAAAGCCAGGUUAAAUAAGUAAGCUUCAGUCUAAACUUAGGUUGGGCCAGGAGUAAUUGACUUGAUGAUCUUAAUGCAUGGCAAGAAGUGUACAGAUUGACAAGAUCAGUGAGAUAACUAAGCGCAAUAUUAUUGAGGAUUUUAAAAGUGAGUAGCAAACUUUUAAACUCUGUGCAAUAUUGGAUAACCAAUGUGGAUCAACAAGAGCUGGAGUGAUAGAAUCAAAUUUUUUAGCUCCAGUAAGAAGGCGAGCCGUAGCAUUCUGAACAAGCUGAAGCCUUCGAAGAGAGACGGAUUGGAGACCACAGUAAAGAGAAUUGCAAUAGUCGAACCUGGAGGUCACAAAAGCGUGGAUAAGUUUUUCAAGGUCCCUGCGUGGUAUAUAACGCUUAGCUUUAGAAAUCUGAUGCAAUUGAAAGAAGCCAGAUUUAACUACAGAUGACAAAUGUGAUUAUGGAUUACUAUUUGGUGAUAAUCGAAAAUUAAGGAAUUGAACUAUUACUAACUGAUUAAACGUAGUAGAGUGUACUUUUGUGUUCAAGUGAUAAUUAUGUUUAAUGAUGAGGUAACAAAUCACAAUCAGGUUAUAUAAUGAGGUCAGAUGUAGUCAAAAGUAAGUCAACUUGCUCUUGAUUUUCAAUUUUUUACUGUAAGGGAAGAGUAAUAUACCAUGACUGAUCAAUAUGGUUAUUUUUCAAAGAAAACCACAGGGUGACCAAAAAAAGCAAACCAAAUUUGAAUCUUAAAAUGUAACACUCAGAUGAACAGAAUCAAUCUUUUGGUAACUAUUUGGCAAUUUUAAUUUUAAAAAUCCCUUAAUAUUAAAAUGUUAAACACAUGUUGCAUAUAUAUCCAACUGAAUACUCUGCAAAUAGGACAUACUGUGCAGUGUGUACACAAUGGCUUAGUUAGAUCGUUAUUACAGAAAAAAAGAAUUGUUUACAAGCAGACAAAUAUUUUUUAUUGACAUGGCAUAAUUCUUUUGAAACUAGACUGACAGGGUACUAAUGUUUGAGUUUUGUGUAAAAGAGAAGUAUCAUAAAUAUACUCAUACCUAACUGAAACAUGUUUCUGAACAAUUAAGAUGCCAGUGAUACAACUUCAACCCAUGAGAGGACUCCACAGGUUGAAGAUUGCACCAUGUGCUGGAAACUGCUGUUUGUCCUGUGUCCAACUUUUGCUGUUCUCCCCUCUCUUCUUGUCUCGCUUCUUGUCCAUCACUACUGCCAGAAAACAGGUAAUUACUAUUAAUUGUACUUGUAUUCAAUUAGUCCAUCAUCAGUUCACUACAUCACUGAGGUUUUUGAUAUACUCAGUUUAUAAUCUCAAAUUAUUGAUCAAAAUCUGAGAGUAUUUUUAAUCCCAUAGUAAUGUUGGAUGUUAUUGCCUAAUGAUGUUGUAUGUUGUAUAAUUUCUGUGGCUGAAAGUUGAUCACCAAAGACCUGAAACCAGCGAGCAAACAAGAAGAAAUCAGGUAAAUUACAAUCAUAUUCAAUUUCUGUAAUAGCACAGAUAAUUUUUUCAUAAUUAUUUCUCCUAUUUUUUUUUUUCAUUCUACAUAUGGCAUUUGUAAUGGCAGUAAUCUACUUGGCAAUUGUGCUUGAUGACACACUACUAUGUAAAAUUUAUUGUGAGUUCUCUUUAACAAGAACUAAUCAUGAACAGUGUCCUAUCCAUUUCCUUCAAUGGUAAUCCAAACCAAUGACUUCAUUUCCUUUUUGACUGACAUAUAUUCAUUAUUUAAUCAAUACUAUUAAUAAUAGUGAUAAAAAAAUAAUAACUUUAUUUGUACUUUUAGUCCUUUAAAACAUACACACAGUUAAAGAGUGCUUCAUAGUUUGGAUACAAUAACAUAUUAAAUAUAAGUGAUCAUGUCCCACUGUACAAAUAUAUAUUCAAAUACAUUGUCUUACAUUAAUUCUGACAUAAAUAAUUAUGUA
ensembl:lncRNA